rnacentral:rRNA from 1 species
UGGGGAAUAUUGGACAAUGGGGGGAACCCUGAUCCUGCCAUGCCGCGUGUGUGAAGAAGGCCUUAUGGUUGUAAAGCACUUUAAGCGAGGAGGAGGGUACUGGUAUUAAUACUACCAGCUACUGGACGUUACUCGCAGAAUAAGCACCGGCUAACUCUGUGCCAGCAGCCGCGGUAAUACAGAGGGUGCGAGCGUUAAUCGGAUUUACUGGGCGUAAAGCGUGCGUAGGCGGCUAAUUGAGUCGGAUGUGAAAUCCCCGAGCUUAACUUGGGAAUUGCAUUCGAUACUGGUUAGCUAGAGUGUGGGAGAGGAUGGUAGAAUUCCAGGUGUAGCGGUGAAAUGCGUAGAGAUCUGGAGGAAUACCGAUGGUGAAGGCAGCCAUCUGGCCUAACACUGACGCUGAGGUACGAAAGCAUGGGGAGCAAACAGG